rnacentral:rRNA from 1 species
UACGGGGGGGGCAAGCGUUGUUCGGAAUUACUGGGCGUAAAGGGCUCGUAGGCGGCCAACUAAGUCGGAUGUGAAAUCCCCAAGCUUAACUUGGGAACUGCAUCCGAUACUGGAUGGCUUGAAUCCGGGAGAGGGAUGCAGAAUUCCAGGUGUAGCGGUGAAAUGCGUAGAUAUCAGGAGGAACACCGGUGGCGAAGGCGGGUCUCUGGGCAAUAACUGACGCUGAGGAGCGAAAGCGUGGGGAGCGAACAGG